GUGCUCGCUUCAGCAGCAUAUAUACUAAAAUUGGAAUAAUGUGAAGACUGGCAUGGCCCCUGCACAAGGAAGACACAAAUUUUUGAAGUGUUCCAUAAAUUA